rnacentral:rRNA from 1 species
GAUGAACGCUGGCGGCGUGCCUAAUACAUGCAAGUCGAGCGAACAGACAGUAAGAUUGCGCCUCUGACGUUAGCGGCUGACGGAUGGGUAACGAAUGGAUCGCAUACCUCUAAUACGUGGAGGACUUCGUAAAGAAAGAGAUACUAACACCUAAUAUAUUCUACCGCAGAAUUCAAUAGUGAAUGGCGCCUUUGCCGUUACUUAUAGAUGGAGCCGCACUGCAUUAGCUAGUUGGUAAGGUAACGGCUCACCAAGGCAACGAUGCGUAGCCGAUCUGAGAGGGUGAUCGGCCACACUGGAACUGAGACACGGUCCAGACUCCUACGGGAGGCAGCAGUGGGGAAUAUUCGACAAUGGGCGCAAGCCUGAUCCAGCCACACCGCGUGGGUGAAGAAGGCCUUCGGGUUGUAAAGCCCUGUUGUUGGGAAAGAAAAACAGCAGAUUAAUACACGGCCGUUCUGACGGUACCCAAAGAAUAAGCACCGGCUAACUUCGUG